UUCCCAAUGUUAGUGAUCUUUCUUGGAAACAUCUAGGGAUCUGAAAGGAAACUUGCGUCACUUUGCCUUUACGUAGACUACUUCGAGCGGUCGUGGCUUACCAACGUUCAUCUCUGGAAUUAUUUUGCGGAUGAGGACGAUCUCCGCACAAACAAUCACGCCGAAGGGUGGCAUAAUUCGCUGCACAUGAAAUUGAAGAGCCAACCCCACAUGACGUUUUCGAAGUUCCUCGUCGAAUUUGAGUCAACCAUACACAAUGUAAGCACAACCAGGUACGCAUUCGGCUGCUGCUGAACGGGGCUUCGCCAAACAGGAGACGACGCAAUUUCGUGGAGAACAACGCGGCGAUACAAGAGGUUCGCUCUUCCUUCUCAUGGGCGUACGAAAAAUACAGCUCAGGGGAAAUGAUACUGGGAAACGAAGUACCCUUCACGGACGUAACAGAGCAGUUUGCUCAUGUCAUCAAGGCAUACCUGCAGCGCAUGUCCCACUUGCUGGGCCAUGCUAACUAAUAAGUUAGUUGUGCAAAUGAAAAAACAAAACAAAAACAAAUAAACGGAGCAGGCUGAGCA